UACGAAGGGGGCUAGCGUUGUUCGGAAUCACUGGGCGUAAAGCGCACGUAGGCGGAUUUUUAAGUCAGGGGUGAAAUCCCGAGGCUCAACCUCGGAACUGCCUUUGAUACUGGAGAUCUUGAGUCCGGAAGAGGUAAGUGGAACUGCGAGUGUAGAGGUGAAAUUCGUAGAUAUUCGCAAGAACACCAGUGGCGAAGGCGG
rnacentral:rRNA from 1 species